UUCGGGCUCGCUCGAAACCUUAGUGGCGAACGGCUGAGAAACGCGUAGGUGACCUGCCCCGAAGUGGGGAAUAACUGCCCNAAAGGGUGGCUAAUACCGCAUGUGUUCACACGUUCAGUCAUGUGAGCAAAGCCGUAAGGCGCUUUGGGAGGGGCCUGCGUCCGAUUAUGCUCGUUGGUGGGGUAACGGCUCACCAAGGCGACGAUCGGUAGGUGGUCUGAGAGGACGAUCACCCAGACUGGGACUGAGACACGGCCCAGACUCCUACGGGAGGCAGCAGUCGGGGAUUUUGCUCAAUGGGCGAAAGCCUGAAGCAGCAACGCCGCGUGAGGGAUGAAGGCCUUCGGGUUGUAAACCUCUUUUAUCAGGGACGAUGAUGACGGUACCUGAUGAAUAAGCCACGGCUAACUACGUGCCAGCAGCCGCGGUAAUACGUAGGUGGCGAGCGUUGUCCGGAUUUACUGGGCGUAAAGAGCGCGCAGGCGGCCUGAUCAGUCGAAUGUGAAAGCCCCCGGCUUAACUGGGGAGGGUCAUUCGAUACUGUCAGGCUCGAAGGCAGGAGAGGGAAGCGGAAUUCCCGGUGUAGUGGUGAAAUGCGUAGAUAUCGGGAGGAACACCAGUGGCGAAGGCGGCUUUCUGGCCUGUUCUCGACGCUGAGGCGCGAAAGCCAGGGGAGCGAACGGGAUUAGAUACCCCGGUAGUCCUGGCCGUAAACGAUGGACACUA
rnacentral:rRNA from 1 species